UACGUAGGAGGCGAGCGUUGUCCGGAUUUACUGGGCGUAAAGCGCGCGCAGGCGGCAUGGCAAGUAAGGUGUGAAAUCUCCCUGCCUAACGGGGAGGGUGCAUUUUAGACUGCCAAGCUAGAGGACGGUAGAGGGGGGUAGAAUUGCUGGUGUAACGGUGAAAUGCGCAGAUAUCAGGAGGAACACCAUGGCGAAGGCAGCACUCUGGGACGGUACUGACGCUGAGACGCGGAAAGCGUGGGGAGCAAACAGG
rnacentral:rRNA from 1 species